UUUCUGUCCUAUUAAACUGUCUUUAUCUCAACCCACGAGUUUUACUUUUUUUUCCCCCUCCAAUUCUCUCCCCCAUCCCACUGUGGUAGGGCGGGGCAGUGAAUGAGUGGCUGCAUUGUGCUUAGUUGCCAGCUGGGGUUAAACCAUGACACCCUUGAAUAAGCUUUAUUCUCCAUAAAUGCAGGUGCCGUUAGCAUCAGUUCGAGGAAAGAGCAGCAUCUCCAUAAGCUCCUGCAGCAGGAGGGGUUCUUGCCUGAGGAAAGCUAUAGUAGUCACUGUGGGUAACAGUUGCUUGCUCUUUCUCUCUCCCAGAGGCAGCACUCACUGAGGACUCAGUUGUCAGUUCCUCUCUGCAGAUGUUGUUGACUGCAUCUGGCUCAGGUUUGUGUGCGUUGCCUUUGGCUUCAUUCUCCUAGCGGCACAGGCAAAAAGGGACAGCUGAAGACUUACUGGCUGUGGACAGGAGCUGCCACAGCUGAAGCUGGAGAGGCCAGAAAAAGGUAAAGCAGCUGAAGAAUAAAAUAAAAGAGAUCCAGCUGGCAGCUGCCUCCAGCUGCAGACAGGAGACAGCUUGCCUCUCCAGGUGAGGAAGGAUCCAUCUUAGCAUAGUCCUCAGCAGAUCCUAUCACCGGUGUGCAGGGCAGGGUCUGUAUGUGUAACCAAAAGCACAGUACAGCCAUGUAGUGUGUGCACGCAUGAGGUUGUGUAUCUAGGAAGCCUCAUGUUGUAAGAGCUGUAAGACGCCAAUCUAUUCUCUUAGGUGGAUCACAGUCAAGUUACUGGAGCUACAGAAGAGGAAGGGAGGGAGAGAGAAACACAGAGAAAGAUGCACCCAAACUUUCAAAUUCUCCCAGCAGCUCUGAGAGUGGGAGCUGCAGUAAGUCCUGGACCCUGGGGGCCGUGUCACCCUUCUUCGGCAUCCCUGUCCCCUCCCUUCUCUUUCUCUUACUGCUGUCAUUUUUUUAGCUUCCCUGUACCUCUCCCUCUCUCAUUCUCCAAUUCCCCCUCUUUCUUUGUCGUUCUACCUCUGCAUGUUCUUUUUCUCUCUGCGCUUGUGUCCUGUUCCCUGCCCCUCUUUUUUUCAUCCUCUGUCUCUGUCCUGCAGGCCAUCACUACUUUUGUCUUUCUCAAUCUAUCUGUCUGUCUUCCUAUCCCAAUUGUUUUAAUUUCUCCCCAUCUGCUCUUUAGUCCUUCACCCCACCGCAGUUCUCUGUCUGGCACUGUGUCUCUAUUUUUAAAUUGCUCUUCCUCUGCCCUGUAUUCUGGUAUACUUUUUCUUUCUUAGAUUCACUCGUUCCAGGUCCCUGUCCCUAUGUUUUAAUUUCUUCCCUCUCUGUCCCAUAGCCCAUUUUUGUCUUUAUUGCUCGCUCUCUUUCUGGCUGCCUGUCCCUAUUCUUUAUUUCUCCUCUCUCUUCCCUUUAGAUCAUUGAUGUUUUUGGUAUUUCUCAGUCGCUCUCUGUCCACUGCACCAUCCCCUUUUUUAAUUCCUCCCUCUCUGCCCUGUGGCCCAUCACUAAUCUUUGUUUUUGUCCAUCUCAGUCUGGUACCCUCUCCCUUUUUAUUAGUGCCUCCUCUCUGUCCUGUAGCCCAUCACUAUUCCCCCUCCCCCCCCCUUUCUGUGUCUCCCUGUCCCUAUUUUUCAAUCCUUCCUCUCUGCCCUGUAGCCAAUUGCUGUUGUGGGUUUACGUGGCAAGGUUUUGUUAGGUGGGGCAAGGGGGUGCACGACCUGCAGGGGUGGGUUUUGUGAGAAGGCACCUGGCAUUGCCCCCAUGUUGGGCACAGCUAGUUCUAGCUCCAAGAUGGAUCUGCUGCUGGUCAAAGCUGAGCCAACCAGCAACGCUGGUAGCACCUCUGUGAUAUUUAAGGAGGGCUAAAAAAUGCUGCGCAGAAGCUGUGAUGCAGAAAAUGGGAGUGUGAAACAGCCCUGCAGGCACCAAGAUCAGUGAAGAAGCAGAGGGAGGAGGUGAUCCAGGUGCCAGAGCAGGGCUUGCCCUGCAGCCUGUGGUGAA